rnacentral:rRNA from 1 species
CCCUUAGAUGUUCUGGGCCGCACACGCGCUACACUGAAGGAGGCAGCGUGUACUCCUGGAUCGAAAGAUUUGGGUAACCCGCGAAUCUCCUUCGUGCUAGGGAUUGAGGUUUGCAAUUAUCCUUCAUGAACGAGGAAUUCCCAGUAAGUGCAAGUCAUAAGCUUGCGCUGACUACGUCCCUGCCCUUUGUACACACCGCCCGUCGCUACUACCGAUUGAAUGAUUUAGUGAGGACUUCGGACUGGGACCGAUGCGGCUUUCGGGCUGCGUCGGUAUUCUGGAAAGAUGUCCAAACUGUAUCAUUUAGAGGAAGGAAAAGUCGUAACA